GGGCUCUGGCUGAUUUGCAUAACCACCAGUUGUCUCCAGCAAGGGGAUAAGAGAGACCUGGGAGGAACCCUGCUCAGCCUUGGGCCUUAGGGAGCAAAAUCGAGGCACCAGCACCAUGGCCUGGACACCUCUCCUCCUCGGAUUCCUGGCUCACUGCACAGGUUCCAUGGCCUCCUAUGUGCUGACUCAGCCCCCCUCGAUGUCGGUGAACCUGGGACAGACCGCCAAGAUCACGUGUGGGGGAAACAGCAUUGGAAGGAAAUAUGCUUCUUGGUACCAGCAGAAGCCAGGCCAGGCCCCAGUGCUGAUUAUCUACCAGAAUAGCAAGCGGCCCUCGGGGAUCCCUGACCGAUUCUCUGGCUCUAACUCAGGGAACACGGCCACCCUGACCAUCAGCGGGGCCCGGGCCGAGGACGAGGCUGACUAUUACUGUCAGACCUAUGACAGCAGUGCUGAUGCUCACGGUGACACGAGCAGAUGGGGAAGUGAGACACAAACCCCUUCCAUGUCUGUCUCACACUCUCCUCCAGCCCCAGGAGGCCUGUGCACAGAGCAGUGAGCAGGUCUGAACCAG